rnacentral:rRNA from 1 species
ACGUAGGGGGCGAGCGUUGUCCGGAAUGACUGGGCGUAAAGGGCGCGUAGGUGGCCUUUUAAGUUAGGAGUGAAAGUCCCGCUUUCAAGGUGGGAAUUGCUGUUAAUACUGGAAGUCUUGAGUGUGGGAGAGGAUAGCGGAAUUCCCGGUGUAGCGUUGAAAUGCGUAGAGAUCGGGCGGAACACCAGUGGCGAAGGCGGCUAUCUGUACCAUGACUGACACUGAGGCGCGAAAGCGUGGGGAGCAAACAG